rnacentral:rRNA from 1 species
AGAACGAACGCUGGCGGCGUGGAUAAGACAUGCAAGUCGAACGCGACUUAUUGUGUUAGCAAUAACAUGGUAAGUUGAGUGGCGAAAGGGUGCGUAACACGUGGGAAUUUACCAAGAAGUGGGGAAUAGCUCGACGAAAGUCGAAUUAAUACCGCAUACGAUCGCAAGAUCAAAGCCGGGGACCGCAAGGCCUGGCGCUUUUUGAGAAGCCCGCGGCCCAUCAGCUAGUUGGCGGGGUAACGGCCCACCAAGGCUAUGACGGGUAGCUGGUCUGAGAGGACGACCAGCCACACUGGAACUGAGACACGGUCCAGACACCUACGGGUGGCAGCAGUCGAGAAUUUUUUCACAAUGGAC